GCACUGAGAUGGGCCUGUGACCUCUGGGGCAGCUCCUCGGGGCUGGCUGCGGCUGGUUAUUCAGAGCAUCCCCUCCUCGUGCAGGUGCUAGGCGCUGCGGUUUACUCUCGUACGGCUUGGCUCAGAGGAGGCACUGCAGGGCAGCUCUCAGGAGCCGAAGUGACCUACAGAGGUGGGGGUCUAAGGCAGCUGGGCAGCAGAGUCUGCACCCCAACGAAGGGUGGCCACACAGGGUCUGCAUGCAAGAGUGUGCCGGAGAGACUCAGAGCUAGGAAUAAUGACCCUGUUCUGCCCAGACCCAAUGUUGCUGUCCCCAUUCAGAAGGGAUCAGAGCACAGACCUGUUGGAAGCAUCAUAUACUCAGAGACCACAUUUGCCAUCAAGGAAGGGUUAUGGAUAUUCCCUGCAGGGAGCUUACUAUAGUCAUAGGAACGUGUCUGACUGGCUGAAGUUUAAUUCAUAAAAACAAUAAUUAAAAUACUUUGCACUUCUCCAGCAGCUUUCAUUCAUGGAUCUCCAACUGCUUUCCAGGCAUUAAUGAAUGUAGCCUCACAACACCCUUGUGAGGUAGGUAAAUAUCAUCCCUGCUUUAGAUAGCCCUUCUCCGUGCCUCAAUUUUCCUAUCAGCAAUUAUGCCUCAAUUCAGCAAAGCACUUAAGCAUUGA